CCUACGGGGGGCAGCAGUGGGGGAUAUUGCACAAUGGGGGGAACCCUGAUGCAGCGACGCCGCGUGGGUGAAGAAGGGCCUCGGCGCGUAAAGCCCUGUCAGCAGGGAAGAAAAUGACGGUACCUGAAGAAGAAGCCCCGGCUAACUACGUGCCAGCAGCCGCGGGAAUACGUAGGGGGCAAGCGUUAACCGGAUUUACUGGGUGUAAAGGGGGCGCAGGCGGCGAUGCAAGCCAGGAGUGAAAGCCCGGGGCCCAACCCCGGGACUGCUCUUGGAACUGGGUGGCUGGAGUGCAGGAGGGGGAGGCGGAAUUCCUGGUGUAGCGGGGAAAUGCGUAGAUAUCAGGAGGAACACCGGGGGCGAAGGCGGCCUGCUGGACUGCAACUGACGUUGAGGCCCGAAAGCGUGGGGAGCAAACAGGAUUAGAUACCCGGGUAGUC
rnacentral:rRNA from 1 species